rfam:TPA: Bos taurus chromosome 18, whole genome shotgun sequence.
AGAAAAGUGAUUAUGAUCAUGGUCUCAGAAGUCAAAUGUCUGGGUUCAAAUCCUAGCUUUUCCA